rnacentral:snoRNA from 1 species
AGCGAUGAUGAUUGCUUUUGAUGAGUCCCAUGAUUCAACUUUUGUUCGUCGCUGACUCUGAGC